AUCACUGGGCGUAAGGGUGCGUACGCGGCCGAGUAAGCCAGAGGUGAAAGGCUACGGCUUAACCGUAGUAAGCCUUUGGAACUACUUGGGUUGAGUGCAGGAAAAGAGAGUGGAAUUCCUAGUGUAGCGGUGAAAUGCGUAAAUAUUAGGAGGAACACCAGUGGGGAAGGGGACUCUCUGGACUGUAACUGACGCUGAAGCACGAAAGCGUGGGGAGCAAACAGGAUUAAAUACCCUGGUAGUCCACGCCCUAAACGAUGAGUGCUAGGUGUCGGGGGUUCACACCCUCGGUGCCGGAGUUAACGCAAUAAGCACUCCGCCUGGGGAGUACGGUCGCAAGACUGAAACUCAAAGGAAUUGACGGGGACCCGCACAAGCAGCGGAGCAUGUGGUUUAUUUCUAAGCAACGCCAAGAACCUUACCAGGACUUGACAUCCCUUUGACAGCACCUUAACCGGAGCCUUCCCUUCGGGGACAAAGGAGACAGGUGGUGCAUGGUUGUCGUCAGCUCGUGUCGUGAGAUGUUGGGUUAAGUCCCGCAACGAGCGCAACCCUUGCCUUUAGUUGCCAUCAGUAAGGCUGGGCACUCUAGAGGGACUGCCGGUGACAAACCGGAGGAAGGUGGGGGAUGACGUCAAAUCAUCAUGCCCCUUAUGUUCUGGGCUACACACGUGCUACAAUGGCUGGCACAACGGGCAGCGAAGGAGUAAUCCGGAGCGAAAUCCUACAAAGACAGUCCUAGUUCGGAUUGGUGGGCUGCAACUCCCCCACUUGAAGCCGGAGUUGCUAGUAAUCGUGAAUCAUAAUGUCGCGGUGAAUGCGUUCCCGGGUCUUGU
rnacentral:rRNA from 1 species